CCACGCUACUUUGUUCCGCUCGGCCCCAGCGUGCGGGUCCCGUGUGUGUCAGAGGAGGCAAAGAAGCUCACCCCCCAGCCGCCGCCAUGCCGCCGCUGCGCUCCCUGGUGGUGGUCCUGCUGCUCGCCGCCUCCCUCGCCCACUCUCUGCCUCAGUUAGAUUCACAUUAAAAAAACGUGGAGUGGGUUGUCCUUGGGACGACUACCAUAUGUGUCAGAGUGGCAGUAUAAUUUGUGGUGUGCAUGUGUGCGACGCCAAGGUGGACUGUCCGGAUGGGGACGACGAGCAGGACUGUGCUGGACCCGCAUUUGAUAUAAGUGAAAGGAGUUGUCCCGGGGACAGCACAUACACGUGUGUGAGCGGCGAUACAAUUUGUAGAGUGAAUAUUUGCGACGGCAAUAAGGACUGUCCGGAUGGGGACGACGAGCAGGACUGUGAGUGCAGCGCCGACCAGUUCCUUUGUGAUAAAACCAAAUGCAUACCUAAUACUUGGCUCUGUGAUGGCGACGAGGACUGUGAGGACAAGACAGACGAACAGGACUGUUCAGCUACGUGUGCAUCGCCGAAGAAUUUCACCUGUAGUGACGGCACGUGUGCUGCAAGAUGUGACGGCAACUAUGAGUGUCUCGACAACGCUGAUGAAGAAAACUGUCCUUCUACCACUACCACCACCACCCCCACCCCCACCAUCACCACCACUACUCCUGCUUUUAAGUGCAGUAACGACGAGUUCCUUUGUGAUAACACCAAAUGCAUCCCGAAAGACUGGCUCUGUGAUGGCGACGAGGAUUGUGAGGACAAGACAGACGAACAUGACUGUUCAGGGUGUGGUGCGGGCCAGUGGCAGUGUAGAGACGGUGGCUGCAUCAGUGAAAAGGACCGCUGCGAUGGCUGCGUUCACUGCAGGGACGGCUCGGAUGAGGAAGGCUGUCGACCUAAGCGCUGCCGCCACUGGGAGUUCAGGUGCCGGGAUGGUUCGUGUAUCAACAAACGAUUACGCUGCAACGGCCGCCGAGACUGCCGCGAUGGUCUGACGAGUGGCAAUGCAGACCACAUUGGCCAUGGCACCAUGGGCGGAACAGAUUUACGGAGGCCGAUCCUAACCUAAGGGAGGAGGCACUGCUGUAAGCCGAAAGCAACCCACCCAUCAGGACACUUGACGGAGAGGCACUACUUGACCCGACGGAGGCAGUGUGUGGAGGCAGGCGGGGAGGCCUUGGGAAGAUGAUGAACCGCUCUGUAGUGUCCGG